rnacentral:rRNA from 1 species
AAGCUUUGGGCGAGAGAAGUUCUAGGAUGGGUGACCUCCUGGGAAGUCCUCCUUUUGCCCCCC